AGAGUUGAUCCUGGCUCAGGACGAACGUUGGCGGCGCGCAUAAUGCAUGCAAGUCGAACGAAGUCCCACCCUUCGGGGUGACGACUUAGUGGCAGACGGCUGAGUAGCGCGUGAGUGAUCUGCCUUUGGGAAGGGAAUAACAGAGGGAAACUUCUGCUAAUACCGCAUACGAUCCACGGUGUAGAGGCCGUGGAUGAAAGGUGCCGGGUAACCGGUUUCCGCCCUUAGAUGAGCUCGCGUCCUAUCAGGUAGUUGGUGGGGUAAUGGCCUACCAAGCCUUAGACGGGUAACUGGUGUGAGAGCAUGACCAGUCAGAGGGGGACUGAGACACGGCCCCCACUCCUACGGGAGGCAGCAGCAGGGAAUCUUCCACAAUGGGCGAAAGCCUGAUGGAGCGACGCCGCGUGAGGGAUGAAGGCUCUAGGGUCGUAAACCUCUUUUCUCAGGGAAGAGCAAGGACGGUACCUGAGGAAUAAGUGACGGCUAACUACGUGCCAGCAGCCGCGGUAAUACGUAGGUCACAAACGUUGUCCGGAUUUAUUGGGCGUAAAGGGUCCGUAGGCGGUUCGGUAAGUCUCCUGUGAAAUCUUCAGGCUCAACUUGAAGAGGUCGGGAGAUACUGCCGGACUUGAGACUGUUAGAGGCAAGU
rnacentral:rRNA from 1 species